UUCCAGAACACAGCCCUCAGCUUCCUCACCGCCUAGCUAUGUGCUCAGUGACCAUCCUGCUGUUUGGAAUGCUCUUCACAGUGAGAGGAACGGGAGCCCAGUCAGUGACUCAGCCUGAUGCCCAGGUGUUGGUCUCUGAAGGAGCCCGUCUGGAGCUGAAGUGCAACUAUUCCUCUAGUGGAACAACUUAUGUCUUCUGGUACGUGCAGUACCCCAACCAAGGACUCCAGCUUCUCCUCAAGUACAUAUCAGGGGACAUCCUGGUUAAAGGCAUCAACGGUUUCGAGGCUGAAUUUAGGAAGAAUGAAAACUCCUUCCACCUGAGGAAAUCCCCAGCCUUUGGCAGCGACGCGGCUGAGUACUUCUGUGCUUGUGCUAGGUCAUCCAACUAUCGGUUGAUCUGGGGCUCUGGGACCAAGCUAAUUAUAAAGCCAGCUAUUCAGAACCCUGACCCUGCCGUGUACCAGCUGAAAAGCCCUGAAUCCAGUAACAUCUCUGUCUGCCUGUUCACUGAUUUUGAUUCGGAAGUCAAUGUGAAACCAUCCACAGAGUCCAACAUGAUUAGAUUGAAAAGUACUUCACUGGACAUGAAGACUAUGGAUUCCAAGAGCAACGGGGCCCUGGCCUGGAGCAACAGCUUUGAUUUGGGAUGCAACAGUACCUUCAACUACACCUUCCACUCCAGCUCAGAAUUUCCCUGUGAUGCCAAUGUGGUAGAGAAAGGCUUUGAAACAGAUAUGAACCUAAAUUCCCACAACCUGACAGUGAUCAUGCUCCGCAUCAUCUUCCUGAAGGUGGUUGGCUUUAACCUGCUCAUGACGCUGAGGCUGUGGUCCAGCUGAGGUCGCCAAGAAUGUGAGAGCCCAGCGCUCCCCUGCUCCUCCCACACCUUCUCCCCCUCUUCAAGAAGAGAGGCACACUCUCUGCCCCCAUGGAGAAUAAGGUUCCCUCCACCUCUCUGGUCCCACUGGCAACGCCACUGACCGAACCCUAGCAGACAUUUGUGAUCAAGAUGCUGAAGAGCUGCCAAACACCGCUGCCACACCCUCUGUCCCCUCAUCGCUGCUUGUCACUGCCUGACACUCCCAGCAAAGGAGCUGCUGCUGUGGCCUCACCUGGCUGGGGAGAAACUCCCCGACCUUCCCCUGAGACUGCCCAUAUGUCCCCUGGAUGAGGGAUCCCCAGUGGGUCCUCUCGGGCUCUAGCUCCUGGAGAAUGUUGUGAGGAGUUUAUAUAUUUUAAAUUAUGUUCAUAAAGGAAUAACACAUCACACUUGUCCCCAAGAUGUGAGGAAAAUUAUUAUCUAGGCCCUGCUGUGCUGUGUAUCUGAGCCACAUUGUAUAUUCUGCUACCCAUGACUUCAUUAAAGGCGAUUGAAAGAGCA